AGUUGCCAUAUGAUCCUGGGAAGAGAGGAUGAAUGUCGCUGGCAUCCUUGGAAUGGGAUGACUGAAGUUGUUUCUCCAGAGACUUCAGAGUGAAGUCCUUUCAUGAGCAAUAUUCUCCAACCUACACUUCACUUGAUCCACCACAACUGGCACAUUCUCAUUUCGUGGCAAUUUCCAAAUAGAAAGAAAACGAGUUUGAAGAUGAUCAAAGUAGACAUUGUUGGUCUCCACCUGGAUCCCUGAGUAUUCCUGCUGCUGCUGCUGCUGCUACACGAUCAACUCUGUUACUUAGGACACUUUUGGUGACAAAUGUAGGGAGGAGUUUGGUUCACUCUGUCUCCCAAACCAAUUUUCUCACAAAUUUCAAGCCGACUUGGUGUCCUACACUUUAACUCAUUUCUGACAUUAACUUUGAAGAAUUACCUCAGACCCUACUUGUUAAGCACUGAGUGUUACAACCUUACUUCGGGUGCUAGUUGCAUGAUUGUCUGACUAUAAAUAAAAGGUUCCUAUA
rnacentral:lncRNA from 1 species